rnacentral:rRNA from 1 species
GCUAAUACCGCAUACGCCUUGAGAGGGAAAGCUUUAUGCGCCCUGGGAUGAGCCCGCGUCGGAUUAGCUUGUUGGUGAGGUAACGGCUCACCAAGGCUUCGAUCCGUAGCUGGUCUGAGAGGAUGAUCAGCCACACUGGGACUGAGACACGGCCCAGACUCCUACGGGAGGCAGCAGUGGGGAAUAUUGGACAAUGGGGGCAACCCUGAUCCAGCCAUGCCGCGUGCGUGAAGAAGGCCUUAGGGUUGUAAAGCGCUUUCGGCGGGGAAGAUGAUGACGGUACCCGCAGAAGAAGCCCCGGCUAACUCCGUGCCAGCAGCCGCGGUAAUACGGAGGGGGCAAGCGUUGUUCGGAAUUACUGGGCGUAAAGGGCGCGUAGGCGGAUUGUCAAGUCAGAGGUGAAAGCCCUGGGCUCAACCUGGGAACUGCCUUUGAAACUGAUAGUCUUGAGUCCGAGAGAGGAUGGCGGAAUUCCCAGUGUAGAGGUGAAAUUCGUAGAUAUUGGGAAGAACACCA